rnacentral:lncRNA from 1 species
AUGGCCUCCCAGGCCGCCCUUGUUAAAGAUGGCGCCUCCGUGCGACGUCCUUCCCUUCACCUAAGCCGGCCUCGCUCCCUCCUGCCGCCGAGGACGCCUCGUCCAGCAGCAAGACGGCAGUACACGCGCGUCGCCUUCCUCCCGUCCUUGCCGAAAGCGACAAACCCUUCAACGCCCUCCUCCGCGGGCCGCAGGAAGCCCCUCCCUCUCCGCCCCGGCGGACACCUCCCCGCGCCCGCGGGAGCGACCGGAAGUGGGGCGGCUCAGAGGCUGAGGCGGCGGGGCGGGCACUUCCGCCCGUCACCGACAUGGCCGCAGGCCGGGAGUGCGCAUGAGCAGCUGUCCAUGGAGCUCUCCGAGUCCGGGGACGGAGAGCACGGUCCGGGGAGAUCGGCGGCUGCGGCGGCGGCGGCCGGUGAGUCGGGGGCCGGCCGCGGGCGGAGCGGGGCCGUGUGCGGGGCUGGCAGGCGGGGCAGGCGGGGUUGCGCUCCCGAGGGCCGGCGGCCUCCCGCGGAGGACGCCUUUGUUUUGCGGGAGGGGGCCGUGCCCGCGUCGUGCCUCCCGCCCCGCCUUGUGGGCCGAGCGCGCUCCCCGCCCUCCUCCGGGCCCGCCGAGCCCCGAGCCCCGAGCCCGAGCCCCGAGCCCCGAGCCCUUCCCGGCCGCCCGGCCUCCAGGCUCGCGGGCUCCCGGGCUCGCGGGCUCGCGCCGCCGGCUGCGGGGCCUGCGGGGCCUGCGGGAGACGCCGGCCUGGUUCGGGGACUUGGUCGUCCUCCCCUUUGUGUCCAGCCCCACAGCAGGGGCUGUUGCAGGGCCCCCUGCCCCGGCGCGCCCGCCCCCACAUCCUGUCCGCGCUUCCGUGUCGCCUCCCCCGAUGCCCGGGAAAUGCUCCCGGAUGUCCAGCUAACAGUGCGCAGAGCAGCCCGACCCGGUUGCCGGUGUCCUCAGAGGCUGCCCCUGCUGACAGCCGCGGGCGGUAGAGACGCCCCCCUGCAGGCAGCGCCCGGCUCCGUAGGUUGA